AACGAACGCUGGCGGCAGGCUUAACACAUGCAAGUCGAGCGCCCCGCAAGGGGAGCGGCAGACGGGUGAGUAACGCGUGGGAACAUACCCUUUCCUGCGGAAUAGCUCUGGGAAACUGGAAUUAAUACCGCAUACGCCCUACGGGGGAAAGAUUUAUCGGGGAAGGAUUGGCCCGCGUUGGAUUAGCUAGUUGGUGGGGUAAAGGCCUACCAAGGCGACGAUCCAUAGCUGGUCUGAGAGGAUGAUCAGCCACAUUGGGACUGAGACACGGCCCAAACUCCUACGGGAGGCAGCAGUGGGGAAUAUUGGACAAUGGGCGCAAGCCUGAUCCAGCCAUGCCGCGUGAGUGAUGAAGGCCUUAGGGUUGUAAAGCUCUUUCACCGGAGAAGAUAAUGACGGUAUCCGGAGAAGAAGCCCCGGCUAACUUCGUGCCAGCCGCCGCAGUAAAAC
rnacentral:rRNA from 1 species